GGCGCACUUCGUGGUGAUUUGGGCCGGCCGGCUUGCAGCCACGUUAAACAAGUUGCUAAAAAGGCCGGAGGUGAGAACCC
rnacentral:ncRNA from 18 species